UAAUUUAAAUCUUUAGUAUUUAAAGCAUCAACCAAGCCUCGUAGUUUUUACUGUUUUGGUGCUUUUUAAGUAAAUCUUGGUGUAGCUGAAAACACGUUUCGCUGAUUCUUCGCCAGCCACAUGCAUCGAAUAUGGCCGCGUGUGGAGUGCUCUAAAACGUCGGUAGCCUUGGCCUAGCCUGGUCUUACGACAUUGGCAGAUAAACUCUCACCAAACUUCACCAAGAUUGGAAACAGAUCGCAUUUAACAACUUUUCUUUACUUGAAUAUUACGGUGUUUGUGCUUUGUUGUCCGAUUUUGAUGUUUUGGGCGGUCGAAGGUGAUUUUCAUGUUGGUGUUUGAUUGAGGAUUUUUAUCGUCUUUAGCGUAUAACUUUUCUUUUUAACUUGUCGUUUUUUGAUGUAACUAGAGUGCAGUUUGAAGUGUGUAAUCUUUGUAAAGCCAUCCUGGAGAGGCCUAGCAUGAGGAAAUUUCAAGUAACAUUUGUUAGCAUGACUUUUGUUUGUAUUUUAAUAUUAAGGAUUUUUACAGAGCCAGGGAUUUCCGAAGUUCUGAACCAUUUUAUCCAUCUUUGGAUUUUUACUACUGGUCAGCUAUCAUCACUCAUUAUGAAAAGCUGGGUGACACACCGUUGAAGAUUUGCUGAUUUUAAACUACCUUGAACGUGAUCCUGUUUCGUAGGCGUUCGCACACACGCAAGAAUGCAGCAUAUUACCAUAACUGUCAUCACCUUUAUAUCAUAUUGAGAAGAAGAAUUCAAUUUUCUAAGAGUGCCUACUUGUGGAUUUGUG